AUGCGCUAAAUUUCCAAGGAUGGAAAAACCUUGGAUAUGGGAUGGUACUACUGUCAAGCACAGCAAGUAGUUUUCAACCAAUAAAAACAAGUUCAAAGGAGUCAAGGUAAUGUUAGCUCCAUUAAAAUGCAAGAUCGUAGAAGGAAAUUUGAAAUUUGGUUGAGAAGGAAAACAAUAGUGGAACGGUUUUGGAACAUUUUGCACUGACUCAAUCCCAAUUGUUUGUUUCAUGGAAGUUAGAAAAUUAUCAAAAAAUGGUUGUUCAAGAAGUGUCAAUGUUGUCCCUGAAUCAAUGACAAUGUUACCAUCGGUUCGACCGGUUUGAAGUGUGUUUUGUCCGAUAGUUAUGCCCUGAAGAUUGAGUUGGUAAAGAAAAUGUUGAGAAGAGUUCAUUAGGAGAGGAGUAGACACAACACUGUCACCUUUUAUAAUAGCUUGAUUCCCAAAUUUCAAUUUACUAGCUGAUUUUGAAUUAAAAGGAAGUAAACAAUAGGAGAAUUUCCUACCAAUAGAAUCACCAAGUUGUGAAAUUAGUGACAAUGGCCCUGCUCCUAGACCAACAAUUCCUACUGGUUUACCACUAGUAUCAGCUGUGAAAUUAUUGUAAUAUCCACAUCCAAACAUAGACUUAGGAAUUGUAACAUUAGAACCAAAACUAAUGGAAUCAAAAACCAAUUCACCAAGAGUGAAUGAUUUGUCACCAUAAAAUAAUGAGUAUAAACAUUGUUGUGAUUUUCCACAUGCGUGUUGAUUUGGUGGAAGUAGUGUGCAAGAUUGUGAAUGACAUGGCACUUUUGUGAAAGUUGAAGACUUGCUGCUAACAUAUAAUGGAGUGUCUUGAUGGAAACAACUCGCACAUGGAGAACAUUGUACCCAUGUAAGAUCACUCCCUGUGUCAACAAUAGCAAAUCUUUCAACCGGGGGGGUGCCAAUAUAAAUUCUAAUCAGAAAAUCACCAUUAUUUGGAAUUAUAAAUGAUUCGGGUGAUUCAUUUUCAUUUGACAACAGAGAAAGUGAAAAUCUCUUAAGUCUACUACUUGAACGUGAAUCUGCAUUUUUUAAUAGAUCUAAUGUGGACAUUGAGGGAUUGUAAUAGGGUGACAUAGCAGAAUCACGGUGAAUAAGAUCAAUGCUAAAACCACUUUCGAUUUUACUUGCUUCAAUAAUUGAUAUUGAAAAAACUGAAUAUAGUGCUAAAAUGAAGAAUACUAAAGCAUUCAUUAUGUUCUAGGAAAUACUACACACUGAAAAAGCAUCAAAGAAAGCAAGUUAAAGUAUUUCUAUUUGUGCAUUUUUUUUAGUUAGUACUAAAGAUUUUAUUUUUGUUAAUUAAUCAAAAAUAUUUACCUCAUAUGAUAAUAUUAUAAACUAAUUAACAACUUACAUUUUAAUUUUACUUCUAUUCUUGUAUUAACUAAUUGCUAACUUCUAUAUCCCAGCCUUAUGAUCUUUACUUAAAUAUUUAUAAAACAAAAACGGCCAAAUAAAAUUUUUGCACCAAAAAAUAUAAAAUGUUAAACUAUAUAAUGUUAUUAGGAAUAUCAAAAGCCACUUCAAAUAUAGAACGUAAAAGUCAUUUUCUAAAAGGCAGUGUUUUCUAAAAGGCAAUGUCUUUACUCAUAAAUCAAAAGUCAUAAAAAUAAGAAAAUAGUAUUUUUUCCUAAAAAAAUAAAACAGUUUUUUUUUGCUAAAAUAGAAAAUAGUAUAAUACAAUGAGAUAUGACUCUGUAACACAUUGAAAACUGAAGAAGAGCCGUAACGAAUAGACAUGUAAAACGUUUAGUUUACUAUAUGUAAUUACUCCACUCUACUAAAUUUACGGUUGAAAAUGAAUCAAAUUUGAAUUCAACUCGACUCGAUAAGAAUUAGUUUAACUCGAAAUUCAACUCAAGUUUGCACCAAAUUUUUUUUUUAACUCGAACUCGACUCAACUCAAGUUCAUGAACAAUUUAGUUCAGUUCACUAGAUCAGAUCAAAUGAACCAAAAAACAAAAAAAAACUUAAAAGAACAACUGCGUUCUUUCAACUUUCGGUUAAAAUAUUAAUCAAAAUCAAUAAAAAAUUAACUAAAGGCUAUAUAUAUAUAUAUAUAUAUAUAUAUAUAUAUAUAUAAAUUAGGUUCAAAAAUCAAUUUUAUUAUUACACUUGAUUAUUUCAUUUGUUGGUAGUGCACUUCUUAUAUAGGAGAAGAAGAUAGUGUAAAUAAGUAUAUUUUUCAACGUGAGACUUUAAUAUAUAGUGAAUUUGAAGAGAGUUUCUUGAAUGUGAAAUUUUUAAGUGUUGAACAUAACUAAAUAACAAACUUUGAGAAAUAAUAUAAUAUUUAAAAUAAUUGUAUUUACCUUCAUAGUAUAAAUAAGAAUUAUAUACAUGAUUUGUAAUUUUUAAAUGACACUAAAUUUAUCUCAAAAUAAUAUUUAUAACUAAAAAUAUUAUCAUAAAAAGUAGUUGAUUUAAGCAAUAAAUGUAAUAUCUCACCUUAAUUUGUUAACAAUUUUUAUAAUAUGUUAGAGUCAAAAUUUGCUUUUUCUAUGAACAAUGGAGUUGUAUGUAUUUUUAGUUUUCAACGCAAGUUCAACUCAUUAUAUUCAUGUACCAACUUCAACAAGCUAAUUAUAAAAUCGAAUCUCGAACCAUUUUCGAGUUGAUUCGGUUCAUUGCCAAUCCUAACUAAAUUAUAUGUAAAAAUAGAUUAAAAUAUGCUUAUGAAAAAUAAUUUUUUUUAAUAAAAAAAAUGAUAUCCAUUCAAUUUGGUAGAAUGCAUCAAUACAACAUAAAUUCAAAGUUGCUAAAAAAAUGAAUAUGUAAAUGAACUCUCGUAACAGCACUAAAUAAAAAUAUGCCUACUAAUAUUACAAAAUUUUCACGUUCUUGGAAUAUCUAUAAUUUCGGAUCUAUAACGUGGAUGACGUCAUAGUCACUAAUUAAUAUUUGUAAUAGAUCAAAACUACUAUGUUAAUUUGGAUCAAAUGAACAUUACAAUAAUACGAGAAAGCCAAACAACAUUGCGCUAAAAUGACAAACAAAAUAAUGUGACACUCAAACAACAAAAUUACAAAAUAUACAAAAGAAAAAUUUAAUGUAUGUAAAAGCACUUGUUUAGAUAAAAAUAAAAACGACUUGAAGGGAUGAUUUCGAUCCAAAAAAUAAUUUUAAAUCGCCUCUCGUAUAAAUGAAAAAGAAAAAAGAACUUAAAUUUUUCAUAGGAAGAGCUCAACCCUAAAUCCUAAACCGACGUUUUAGCCGGUUUUACAAGUCUGACCACUUCACAAAGAAGAAUAAAGAUGAGGGAGGAAUAAGGUACAAGAAAUCUAACUUCCAUGCCAAUUUUCUUGUAUGCUAUGAAUGGGAGAAGUGAAUGACAAUAUUGGAUCCAGAAAAAAAAGAAGAAAAAAAAAAAAAGAAGUUUUCAAUGACAAGAAGGUGUGAUGGUAGUUGUGUGUUGAAGAGAAUAAAAUCAAUGGGCUUAGAUUUGCAAGCGAAGAAAUGAAUUGCAAAAUGAUAAAAGAGAAGAAUGGGAAAAAUAUGGCAAGGAAGCUAAGAGAAAGAUGAAGAAUGGAUAAUGAAACGACGAAUAUAUUUCCAUUAUUAAUGCAUUUAAAUUAAAUCAUUAUUAAAUUAUUUUUAUUAGUUAUUGACGUAUUUUAAUUAUCAUAAAUAUAAAGUAAGAAAAUAUUAAAUAAAAAAAUUAAUUAUAUGGUAUAAUUUUAAAAAAGAAAUUAAAAUUUAUUGAAAACUAAAAGUAAAAUACUCAGACAAAUAGUAUUUACAAAUCUAACCGUUAUUUUGAUAUCUAGGAAAUCUUGAAAUUAAGUUUGAUGCUUAUGUAGUUAAUGUGUAGGUCUUAAUUUCGUACUCCAUUUGGUCCCAAUCAUAAAAAGGAAAAAAUCAAUACCAAUAAAUUUUAGAUUAGUUAUUUAGUAGUUUUAGUUUUGACCAACUACCCUUGUUAUUUGAGAAUUAAUUAUCUUUGAUUAUGAAUUUUGUUAGAGUUUAGUUGGUUUUUUUUUCUUUUCUUUUUUAGAUGUUGAUAUAAAAAGGGAUUCUUUAUCUUUCACAAUUUUUAUAUCUUCGAUAUUAUUGAUGGAAUAAAGAUGAAAUAUUAUUUAAUUUAUUCAACUUCUCCUUCAUGUUAAUAGCUAUCCAUAUUGCAUUAUAAUUGUGAUUAAAAAGGAUUAGAAAUAUUUUUAUUUAUGAUACAAGUCAAAUCUUAGUGACAACGAUAUUCAGAGUCUCAAUAUUAAUAUCAACAUAAUAAACUCAACUACAAUAAAUGUUAUGUCAUGAAUUACCUUAAAUUAUACCAACUCUAAUUAGAGUGUUAAACUCUUAUUAUUGAGCUAACACAAUAUGAACAAAUUAAAGCUCAUUUUUUUUAUCAUUAUAUAUAUUUUUUGAAAUCAACUUUUUAAUAUACUAUAUAUUGAAAUUUAUAUAUAAAAAUGUUAUAUUUGUUUUUACCUUCAAGAGGUCGCAAAGCAGAGAUGGGGAUGUGACCACCUAAAAUAAUUUUUUUCUUCUAUAGGAGGUUGCAUCCUGGAGAUGCGACCAUGUGUUGCCUUAUUUUUUAUUUUUAAUAAAGGAAGAAACGCUAAAUUAAUAAAUAAAAUAAACUAAAUUAUAUUAAUAAAAUUAAACAAAAUAUAUUAAAUAAAAAAAAUACAUCAAAGUUAUCGUGGUUGAAUAGAUGUAUCAAAUAAAAUAACAUGGAGCACUAAAAUAUUAAAGAGCAUUUAAAAGACAAAUGUGGAAGGUCCACUUACUAAAACAACAUUGCAAAAUAUUAUGCACAUUGAUCUCUAUAUUGAUGACAUGGAGGCCAAUAUAAAAAGGACUAAAGUACACUUAAUUGGAACUAUUGAUGUGACAACUGCACAUGCCUUAGAAUCAAUAUUGUUUCAACAACCAUAAUGGUGAUCAUCUAAUCAUUAUCGGUCAUGUUUUCUUCAAGGCUCAAGGCGAAACAUUUUGUUUGAAGAAGAACGUUCUUGACAGAAGUGCAAACAAGAAGAUUGUUUCAAAUAAAGCAAUUGACAAUUGGCAAGAACGACCAACAACUAUAUUUGGUCUAAAUUCAAUAUUCACAACCUCUCAUUAUAUAUAAAUUGAAGAUCAAUUGGAAGAUGAAAGCUAAUAUUGGAUGGACUGAGUACUUUAACCUAGACCAGUCAUAUGCUGUAGAUACUCUAGUUAAAGAGUUUUGGAGGUUUGCUGAUGUGAACAAAGAUGGAGAAGUCUCAAGUAUGGUUUUAGAGCUUCCUAUCAAAGUUGAUCAACAAACCGUUGUUGCUGUCACCCAAUGUCUUGAUGAUGGCACGAAAAAUAAAAAUGGAUAUGAAUCAAGAAUGAGGUCUUGUACAAUCAUCAAAAAACUUUUUGAAUAUCACAAUAUUAACUCCAAGUCAAUUCAUUUAAGAUUAUGAUUAGAUGUGUGUUACCAAAAGGUGGCUCUAUUGAUGACAUCGACAAACAACACUAGGGAUUGAUGUUGAAUAUCUCCCAGAAGAUGCAUACUAAUUUGCAACACUUGAUACUUAAGCAUAUAAGGUCUUGCAUCAUCAACUCCUAAUCAAGACAAUUCCCUACUUGAAGCUCAUCAUAGUUGUGCUUGUGAGAACACAUCCCAUUAAGGCUCUAAAGAAAGUAAGGAGAGUUGUUAAAGAUGAACACUUGCUAUUCUUCUCUUCACCAAUGUUCAAUAUCCAAAAUGUUAUUAAAAUGCGACUCAUUGCUACCAAUGGUUUUAUAAAACCAAUAAAUAAAGUCAAACGAAUCUCAAGACAAUCUAGUGGAACUCAAGACACUUAUUUUUUGGUUGGAGAUUCGUAGGUUCCAAUUUUUAAGGAAGAUAACAAAUAGAUAAUUCAAGAGCAUCUAAGGAUGUACCACUCUGGUCAAACAAUGUCUCUAGUUUGCUUCCUUUUGUCAAGAGUAGCUCAUAAGUUUGAGAAGAAAAGAAAAAAGGGCAAUCAAGAUAUCUUCUAGGUUAGAGAAAUAAGAAGAUGAUGAAAAUUCCAAUGAGGAUGAAGCUAGCCUCACCUUGAGUUAAAGACCAAAUGUAAAUACCUCUGUUAAACAUAUUCACUUUCUUAUUGAUAUUGUUAGUGGCAAUGAAAUAACUGAACNNNNNNNNNNNNNNNNNNNNNNNNNNNNNNNNNNNNNNNNNNNNNNNNNNNNNNNNNNNNNNNNNNNNNNNNNNNNNNNNNNNNNNNNNNNNNNNNNNNNNNNNNNNNNNNNNNNNNNNNNNNNNNNNNNNNNNNNNNNNNNNNNNNNNNNNNNNNNNNNNNNNNNNNNNNNNNNNNNNNNNNNNNNNNNNNNNNNNNNNNNNNNNNNNNNNNNNNNNNNNNNNNNNNNNNNNNNNNNNNNNNNNNNNNNNNNNNNNNNNNNNNNNNNNNNNNNNNNNNNNNNNNNNNNNNNNNNNNNNNNNNNNNNNNNNNNNNNNNNNNNNNNNNNNNNNNNNNNNNNNNNNNNNNNNNNNNNNNNNNNNNNNNNNNNNNNNNNNNNNNNNNNNNNNNNNNNNNNNNNNNNNNNNNNNNNNNNNNNNNNNNNNNNNNNNNNNNNNNNNNNNNNNNNNNNNNNNNNNNNNNNNNNNNNNNNNNNNNNNNNNNNNNNNNNNNNNNNNNNNNNNNNNNNNNNNNNNNNNNNNNNNNNNNNNNNNNNNNNNNNNNNNNAAAAAAAAAUCUAUUCUUUGAAAUUAAAAAACAUAUUUUAGAGGUUAAAUGGUGUUUGUUUAAGAUUUUUUAAAAAUCAUUUUGUUAGAAAAAUCAUUUUUUGUUUAAUAUAUAUAACUAUGUACAUUUGUAUUAGUAUGUGGAGAGAAUUAUGUAUUACGGGUAGAUCAUCAUGAAAAUUGGUAUAGAAAGAAGAUGUAAUUAGAUAUGUGUAUAGCGACUAAUUAUGGAUGCAUUUUAUUUUUUUGUUUCCUUGGAAGUUUGUUGCAAUGUGUUAGUUAUUAUUUUAUUAGAUUUGAUUAUAAUUUUAUUAGUUUCCCCUUUUAUAUAACGGCAGAGUUUAGUCUAUUUAAAAAAUAUAAAAUAUAACAUUUAAAUGUUUUAAUGCAAAUAAGAUUUUUAAAUAGGUUUUCAGGUCAGACCAUACUUUUAAAAAGGUCAGACCAGACCGACAAAUGUACUUAUCACCAACCUAAUUCAUCAUCUCAUCGACAACAAAAGUUGAACAUACAACUUUAUAGAAUGUGAGUCAACUUCUUACCAAUAAAUAAAUAAGAUGAGGAUAUUAGCUACUAUUAAGGAUGGGAAUAGGUCUGGCCUUAGACUAUUUUUAAAGCAAUUUUAUUUAAAUAGGUCAGGUUCAGACUUAUAAAAAAGCCCAUUAGGUCUGACAUACCGAUCUAUAUAUAUUUUAUUAUUUAUUAAUAUUAUUUUUUAUUAUUAUGUCAAUAAUAAUAUUUCCUGUUUUAAAUUCUAUCAAUUAGGCAAUCACUCAGUAAUCAUUCUAUAUUCGGUAGCCGUUCCAUAUUUGGUAGUUGUUCCAUAUUUGGUAGUCAUUUAAUUAGUCAAUCACUCAUUAGUCGUUCCAUAUUUGUUUGAGAGGUAAUAAUGGGUGCGUUUGUUUCAAAAAAAAAAUCUAUUUUUUGAAAUCAAAAAUUAUAUUUUAGGAUUUAAAGGAUGUUUGUUUCAGAUUUUUUUUAAAAUUAUUUUGUUAGAAAAAUUAUUGUUUGUUUAAUAUAUACAGAUAUGUAUAUUGAUAUUGGAAUGUGGAGAGCAUCGAGUAGAACAUUUAAAUGUUUUAAUGUGAAUAAGACUUUUAAAUAGGCUUUCAGGCUAGACGAGACCGGAAAAAAAAAAUUUAUGAUAAGCCGUAGGCCAGAUUUAGGCCAAUAAAAUUAAUCGUAGGCCAGACUUAGACCUUUCAAAGCCUGACCUAUUUCCACCCCUAGCUACUAUUAUACAUUUGGAUGGUUUUUUAUUUUUUAUUUUUUAACAUUUUGAAUGUAUCUCGAAAUUUAUAUUGAAUGUAACAUUUAUAUAUUAAUGCAAGUGAAGAUGAUUGUUGAUUAUUUAUGUUUCACGAGGAUUGAAACACGAGUUGGUAUACAAACACAUGAAGUCAUUUAAAGAAAACAUAAAAGUGCACUAUUACAGAAACAUAAUUAACAAAGUAGAACCGACAUAUAAGUUCAGUAAUUAAAAAGUAAAUAGAAACUAAUUAAGCAUAUAUAGCUUUAAGGGUUUAGGAUAAGUUAAGAUCAGUACAAUCACUAGCAGCAAAAGACAAUAUUUUCCGUUCAAGAUCAUAUUCCACUUGAAAAUUAACAUGCGCUAAAUUUCCAAGGAUGGAAAAACCUUGGAUAUGGGAUGGUACUACUGUCAAGCACAGCAAGUAGUUUUCAACCAAUAAAAACAAGUUCAAAGGAGUCAAGGUAAUGUUAGCUCCAUUAAAAUGCAAGAUCGUAGAAGGAAAUUUGAAAUUUGGUUGAGAAGGAAAACAAUAGUGGAACGGUUUUGGAACAUUUUGCACUGACUCAAUCCCAAUUGUUUGUUUCAUGGAAGUUAGAAAAUUAUCAAAAAAUGGUUGUUCAAGAAGUGUCAAUGUUGUCCCUGAAUCAAUGACAAUGUUACCAUCGGUUCGACCGGUUUGAAGUGUGUUUUGUCCGAUAGUUAUGCCCUGAAGAUUGAGUUGGUAAAGAAAAUGUUGAGAAGAGUUCAUUAGGAGAGGAGUAGACACAACACUGUCACCUUUUAUAAUAGCUUGAUUCCCAAAUUUCAAUUUACUAGCUGAUUUUGAAUUAAAAGGAAGUAAACAAUAGGAGAAUUUCCUACCAAUAGAAUCACCAAGUUGUGAAAUUAGUGACAAUGGCCCUGCUCCUAGACCAACAAUUCCUACUGGUUUACCACUAGUAUCAGCUGUGAAAUUAUUGUAAUAUCCACAUCCAAACAUAGACUUAGGAAUUGUAACAUUAGAACCAAAACUAAUGGAAUCAAAAACCAAUUCACCAAGAGUGAAUGAUUUGUCACCAUAAAAUAAUGAGUAUAAACAUUGUUGUGAUUUUCCACAUGCGUGUUGAUUUGGUGGAAGUAGUGUGCAAGAUUGUGAAUGACAUGGCACUUUUGUGAAAGUUGAAGACUUGCUGCUAACAUAUAAUGGAGUGUCUUGAUGGAAACAACUCGCACAUGGAGAACAUUGUACCCAUGUAAGAUCACUCCCUGUGUCAACAAUAGCAAAUCUUUCAACCGGGGGGGUGCCAAUAUAAAUUCUAAUCAGAAAAUCACCAUUAUUUGGAAUUAUAAAUGAUUCGGGUGAUUCAUUUUCAUUUGACAACAGAGAAAGUGAAAAUCUCUUAAGUCUACUACUUGAACGUGAAUCUGCAUUUUUUAAUAGAUCUAAUGUGGACAUUGAGGGAUUGUAAUAGGGUGACAUAGCAGAAUCACGGUGAAUAAGAUCAAUGCUAAAACCACUUUCGAUUUUACUUGCUUCAAUAAUUGAUAUUGAAAAAACUGAAUAUAGUGCUAAAAUGAAGAAUACUAAAGCAUUCAUUAUGUUCUAGGAAAUACUACACACUGAAAAAGCAUCAAAGGAAGCAAGUUAAAGUAUUUCUAUUUAUGCAUUUUUUUUAGUUAGUACUAAAGAUUUUAUUUUUGUUAAUUAAUCAAAAAUAUUUACCUCAUAUGAUAAUAUUAUAAACUAAUUAACAACUUACAUUUUAAUUUUACUUCUAUUCUUGUAUUAACUAAUUGCUAACUUCUAUAUCCCUGCCUUAUGAUCUUUACUUAAAUAUUUAUAAAACAAAAACGGCCAAAUAAAAUUUUUGCACCAAAAAAUAUAAAAUGUUAAACUAUAUAAUGUUAUUAGGAAUAUCAAAAGCCACUUCAAAUAUAGAACGUAAAAGUCAUUUUCUAAAAGGCAGUGUUUUCUAAAAGGCAAUGUCUUUACUCAUAAAUCAAAAGUCAUAAAAAUAAGAAAAUAGUAUUUUUUCCUAAAAAAAUAAAACAGUUUUUUUUUGCUAAAAUAGAAAAUAGUAUAAUACAAUGAGAUAUGACUCUGUAACACAUUGAAAACUGAAGAAGAGCCGUAACGAAUAGACAUGUAAAACGUUUAGUUUACUAUAUGUAAUUACUCCACUCUACUAAAUUUACGGUUGAAAAUGAAUCAAAUUUGAAUUCAACUCGACUCGAUAAGAAUGAGUUUAAUUCGAAAUUCAACUCAAGUUUGCUCCAAAUUUUUUUUUUAACUCGAACUCGACUCAACUCAAGUUGAUGAACAAUUUAGUUCAGUUCACUAGAUCAGAUCAAAUGAACCAAAAAACAAAAAAAACUUAAAAGAACAACUGUGUUCUUUCAACUUUCAGUUAAAAUAUUAAUCAAAAUCAAUAAAAAAUUAACUAAAGGCUAUAUAUAUAUAUAUAUAAAUUAGGUUCAAAAAUCAAUUUUAUUAUUACACUUGAUUGUUUCAUGUGUUGGUAGUGCACUUCUUAUAUAGGAGAAGAAGAUAAUGCAAAUGAGUAUAUUUUUCAACGUGAGACUUUAAUAUAUAGUGAAUUUGAAGAGAGUUUCUUGAAUGUGAAAUUAAGUGUUGAACAUAACUAAAUAACAAACUUUGAGAAAUAAUAUAAUAUUUAAAAUAAUUUUAUUUACUUUCAUAGUAUAAAUAAGAAUUAUAUACAUGAUUUUUAAUUUUUAAAUGACACUAAAUUUAUCUCAAAAUAAUAUUUAUAACUAAAAAUAUUAUCAUAAAAAGUAGUUGAUUUAAGCAAUAAAUGUAAUAUCUCACCUUAAUUUGUUAACAAUUUUUAUAAUAUGUUAGAGUCAAGAUUUGCUUUUCCUAUGAACAAUGGAGUUGUAUGUAUUUUUAGUAGCUUUUAAAUGAUAUAAAGAAAGUCUUAAUAUUAGUUUUUCAAAUUAUUUUUAUUUCGUUACAAAAUGACAUUUACAAUGUGUUCAACAUCGCCUUUAAAUAUUUUAUUACUUUCACCUAAAUUAAUUUGUUUUUACAACUCUCAAGUCAAAUUUAUUUUAUACAAAAAUAAAAUUAUAUAAAAUUGAUAUAUAUAUAAUACACACACACCGAGUAUGUUUAUAAACCAAAAGAGUCGAUCUAUACCUCAAGUUCAACUUACUUAUUUAACGAACUCAAUUUUCAACGCAAGUUCAACUCAUUAUAUUCAUGUAGCAAUUUCAACAAGUUAAUUAUCAAAUCGAAUCUCAAACCAUUUUCGAGUUGAUUCGGUUCAUUGUCAAUCCUAACUAAAUUAUAUGUAAAAAUAGAUUAAAAUAUGCUUAUGAAAAAGAAUUUUUUUUAAUAAAAAAAAACGAUAUCCAUUCAAUUUGGUAGAAUGCAUCAAUACAACAUAAAUUCAAAGUUGCUAAAAAAAUGGAAUAUGUAAAUGAACUCUCGUAACUUUCAUGUCAACAGCAUUAAAUGAAAAUAUGCCUACUAAUAUUACAAAAUUUUCACGUUCUUGGAAUAUCUAUACAUUCGGAUCUAUAACGUGGAUGACGUCAUAGUCACUAAUUAAUAUUUGUAAUAGAUCAAAACUACUAUGUUGAUUUGGAUCAAAUGAACAUUACAACAAUACGAGAAAGCCAAACAACAUUGCACUAAAAUGACAAACAAAAUAAUGUGACACUCAAACAACAAAAUUACCAAAUAUACAAAUGAAAAAUUUAAUGUAUGUAAAAAACACUUGUUUAGAUAAAAAUAAAAAACGACUUGAAGGGAUUAUUUGAUCCAAAAAAUAAUUUUAAAUCGCCUCUCGUAUACAUGAAAAAGAAAAAAGAACUUAAAUUUUUCUUAGGAAGAACUCAAACCUAAAUCCUAAACCGACGUUUUAGCCGGUUUUACAAGUCUGACCACUUCACAAAGAAGAAUAAAGAUGAGGGAGGAAUAAGGGACAAGAAAUCUAACUUCCAUGCCAGUUUUCUCGUAUGCUAUAAAUGAGAGAAGUGAAUGACAAUAUUGGAUAAAAAAAAAAUGAAGUUUUCAAUGACAAGAAGGUGUGAUGGUAUUUGUGUGUUGAAGAGAAUAAAAUCAAUGGGCUUAGAUUUGCAAGAGAAGAAAUGAAUUGCAAAAUGAUAAAAGAGAAGAAUGGGAAAAAUAUAGCAAGGAAGUUAAGAGAAAGAUGAAGAAUGGAUAAUGAAACGACGAAUAUAUAUUUCCAUUAUUAAUGCAUAUAAAUUAAAUCAUUAUUAAAUUAUUUUUAUUAGUUAUUGACAUAUUUUAAUUAUCAUAAAUAUGAAGUAAGAAAAAUUAAAUAAAAAAAUUAAUUAGAUGGUAUAAUUUAAAAAAAGAAAUUAAAAUUUAUUGAAAACUAUAAGUAAAAUACUUUGAGACAAAUAGUAUUUACAAAUCUAACCGUUAUUUUGAUAUCUAGGAAAUCUUCAAAUUAAGUUUGAUGGUUAUGUAGCAAAUGUGUAGGUCUUAAUUUCGUACUCCAUUUGGUCUCAAUUACAAAAAGGAAAAAAUCAAUACCAAUAAAUUUUAGAUUAGUUAUUUAGUAGUUUUAGUUUUGACCAACUGCCCUUGUUAUUUGAGAAUUAAUUAUCUUUGAUUAUGAAUUUUGUUAGAGUUUAGUUGGUUUUUUUUUCUUUUCUUUUUUAGAUGUUGAUAUAAAAAGGGAUUCUUUAUCUUUCAUCAUUUUUAUAUCUUCGAUAUUAUUGAUGGAAUAAAGAUGAAAUAUUAUUUAAUUUAUUCAACUUCUCCUCCAUGUUAAUAGCUAUCACAUAUCGCAUUAUAAUUGUGAUUAAAAAGGAUUAGAAAUAUUUUUAUUUGUGAUACAAGUCAAAUCUUAGUGACAACGAUAUUCAGAGUCUCAAUAUUAAUAUCAACAUAAUAAACUCAACUACAAUAAAUGUUAUGUCAUGAAUUACCUUAAAUUAUACCAACUCUAAUUAGAGUGUUAAACUCUUAUUAUUGAGCUAACACAAUAUGAACAAAUUAAAACUCUUUUUUUUUUUAUCAUUAUAUAUAUUUUUUGAAAUCAACUUUUUAAUAUACCAUAUAUUGAAAUUUAUAUAUAAAAAUGUUAUAAUUUUUUUUUUACCUUCAAGAGAUCGCAAAGCGGAGAUGGGAUGUGACCACCUAAAAUAAUUUUUUUCUUCUAUAAGAGGUUGCAUCCUGGAGAUGCGACCAUGUGUUGCCUUAUUUUUUAUUUUUAAUAAAGGAAGAAACACUAAAUUAAUAAAUAAAAUAAACUAAAUUAUAAUAAUAAAAUCAAACAAAAUAUAUUAAAUGAAAAAAAAUACAUCAAAGUUAUCGUAGUUGAGUAGAUGUGUCAAACAAAAUAACAUGGAGCACUAUAAUAUUAAUGAGCAUUUAAAAGACAAUUGUUGAAGGUCCACUUACUAAAACAACAUUGCAAAAUAUUUUGCACAUUGAUCUUUAUAUUGAUGACAUGGAGGCCAAUAUAAAAAGGACUAAAAUACACUGAAUUGGAACUAUUGAUGUGACAACUGCACAUGCCUUAGAAUCAAUAUUGUUUCAACGACCAUAAUGGUGAUCAUCUAAUCAUUAUCGGUCAUGUUUUCUUCAAGGCUCAAGGCGAAACAUUUUGUUUAAAGAAAAACGUUCUUGACAGAAGUGCAAACAAGAAGAUUGUUUCAAAUAAAGCAAUUGACAAUUGGCAAGAACGACCAAAAACUAUAUUUGGUCUAAAUUCAAUAUUCACAACCUCUCAUUAUAUAUAAAUUGAAGAUCAAUUGGAAGAUGAAAGCUAAUAUUGGAUGGACUGAGUACUUUAACCUAGACCAGUCUUAUGCUGUAGAUACUCUAGUUAAAGAGUUUUGGAGGUUUGCUGAUGCGAACAAAGAUGGAGAAGUCUCAAGUAUGGUUUUAGAGCUUCCUAUCAAAGUUGAUCAACAAACCGUUGUUGCUGUCACCCAAUGUCUUGAUGAUGGCACGAAAAAUAAAAAUGGAUAUGAAUCAAGAAUGAGGUCUUGUACAAUCAUCAAAAAACUUUUUGAAUAUCACAAUAUUAACUCCAAGUCAAUUCAUUUAAGAUUAUGAUUAGAUGUGUGUUACCAAAAGGUGGCUCUAUUGAUGACAUCGACAAACAACACUAGGGAUUGAUGUUGAAUAUCUCCCAGAAGAUGCAUACUAAUUUGCAACACUUGAUACUUAAGCAUAUAAGGUCUUGCAUCAUCAACUCAUAAUCAAGACAAUUCCCUACUUGAAACUCAUCAUAGUUGUGCUUGUGAGAACACAUCCCAUUAAGCCUCUAAAGAAAGUAAGGAGAGUUGUUAAAGAUGAACAUUUGCUAUUCUUCUCUUCACCAAUGUUCAAUAUCCAAAAUAUUAUUAAAAUGCGACUCAUUGCUACCAAUGGUUGUAUAAAACCAAUAAAUAAAGUCAAACGAAUCUCAAGACAAUCUAGUGGAACUCAAGACACUUAUUUUUUGGUUGGAGAUUCGUAGGUUCCAAUUUUUAAGGAAGAUAACAAAUAGAUAAUUCAAGAGCAUUUAAGGAUGUACCACUCUGGUCAAACAAUGUCUCUAGUUUGCUUCCUUUUGUCAAGAGUAGCUCAUAAGUUUGAGAAGAAAAGAAAAAAAGGCAAUCAAGAUAUCUUCUAGGUUAGAGAAAUAAGAAGAUGAUGAAAAUGCCAACGAGGAUGAAGCUAGCCUCACCUUGAGUUAGAGACCAAAUGUAAAUCCCUCUGUUGAGCAUAUUAGCUUUCUUAUUGAUAUUGUUAGUGGCAAUGAAAUAACUGAACCUGAAACUACUGCAACUCCAUCAGAACCUCUCUCUAGACAAAAAACUCCUACUCAUAUCCUCUCAACACCCUAAAAAAUCUCACCCUUAAACCUUUACUAUGUACUCUAGCUUUGAUUUAGAUACAUACACCUCAACCCUAGUUUAAAAUCUUGUAGCUAUUAGGUAUAGAUCAAACUCAUACCCUCUCAAUUUUGAAUUUUCCACCUCAACUCCAUCGUCUUCCAACUCUAACCCUCCAUAAACACUUACUAAAACAACCAGUCCAACCUCACCUAUCCCUUUCACACCUACUUAUAACCCUUAUCAGUGGCGGAACUUGACCUAAAAUUUUGGGGUGGCCGACAUAAUUCACUCUCACAAAUUUUCCUCAUGAAAAAAUAAUCAAUUCUUCUACUUUUCUUCAUUCUCACAAACUUAUCUAAAUCAAUCAAUUCAAUAAACAUAAAACAUCUUAUAUUCAACAAAAAAAAAAAACAUUUUAUAUAGACAAAAAAACUCAAACAAAAAUGCAACAAAACUCAAACACCUUGUAUGCAAAAAAAAAAAUAAAAAAUCAAACACAUAAAAUCAAACACCUUAUGUGCGACAAAAAAAAAACUCAAACACUUUAUGUUGACAUAAACUCAAACACAUUAUGUGCAACACAAAAACUCUAAACAAAAAUCAGCUAAUUAAAACUCCAAAUCAAAAUUUCAAACUCUAAAUCAAAACUCUAAACUCAACAAUAACAAUAUAAGCUUUAAAUUUUAUGCUAACAAAUAUCAAACCUAACAAAAAUCGACACUAACUAACAAAAAUCAGCAAUAACAAAAUAGAAAUUCGAACAUUUUGAACAAAGCAGCAACAAGAUCUAGAGACAGAUGACUGAUGAGGUUGCGGCGAGUAGAGAGGCAGCGACGAAUGGCCACGGACAGAGGCAGUCAGGCAGACGAACGAUUGGCCGCAGCGAGCGAUUUCGUGAGCGAGCAGACGAGCGAUUGUCGUAGAGAGACGACCGCACGUUUGUCUUGAUUCAUGAAUCUGAUUAUGGAGGAGGGAGAGAGUUGUGGCAGCUGAGCAAUCCGAAUAUAGUACUUUAAUAAGAAGGUUUGUAGAUUGGAGAACUUUGAGAGAUUUGGCAUUGGGUUGGGCAUCAGAAUGGGUACAGAGCAUGAUAUACAACUUUGGUGGCAUGGGAUACCACGAUAGUGAGCCACCCGUUGAAGAAGACGACAAUGGAGGAAACCACGAUAACGGAGACAAAGGUGAAGGAGAAAAUGGUAAUAAACCUAGGAAAAGAGGACAUUGAAACAUGGAAUCUCCAUGAAAACUAGAAACAUGCAUCUAUGAAUUAUUUUGUUUCCCACUUACUAUAUUAAAUAAAGUAUGAUCUAUUGUCAAUGGCGGAACUUGACUGAAAAAUUUGGAGUGGCUGACAUAAUUCACUCUCACAAAUUUUCCUCAUGAAAAAAUAAUCAAUUCUUCUACUUUUCUUCAUUCUCACAAACUUAUCUAAAUCAAUCAAUUCAAUAAACAUAAAACAUCUUAUAUUCAACAAAAAAAAAAAACAUUUUAUAUAGACAAAAAAACUCAAACAAAAAUGCAACAAAACUCAAACACCUUGUAUGCAAAAAAAAAAAUAAAAAAUCAAACACAUAAAAUCAAACACCUUAUGUGCGACAAAAAAAAAACUCAAACACUUUAUGUUGACAUAAACUCAAACACAUUAUGUGCAACACAAAAACUCUAAACAAAAAUCAGCUAAUUAAAACUCCAAAUCAAAAUUUCAAACUCUAAAUCAAAACUCUAAACUCAACAAUAACAAUAUAAGCUUUAAAUUUUAUGCUAACAAAUAUCAAACCUAACAAAAAUCGACACUAACUAACAAAAAUCAGCAAUAACAAAAUAGAAAUUCGAACAUUUUGAACAAAGCAGCAACAAGAUCUAGAGACAGAUGACUGAUGAGGUUGCGGCGAGUAGAGAGGCAGCGACGAAUGGCCACGGACAGAGGCAGUCAGGCAGACGAACGAUUGGCCGCAGCGAGCGAUUUCGUGAGCGAGCAGACGAGCGAUUGUCGUAGAGAGACGACCGCACGUUUGUCUUGAUUCAUGAAUCUGAUUAUGGAGGAGGGAGAGAGGAAGGCUGGAACUUGUAAGCAAAAGAGAGAGAGGGAGAGAGGAAGGCUGGAUGGAAGAGAGAGGAAGAAAGAGAAAACUGAAUUAGGUUUAGGUAUGUUUUGUAAUUUUUUAAUUUUAAGAUGGAUAUUUUAGUCAUUGUACUUAUAAUUUUUUUUUUUUUGGGUGGCCGCGGCCCCCCUUAGUCCCAAGGAAGCUCCGCCCCUGACCCUUAUUCACCUAUGUUUGUGGAUCGUAUAAAAAAAAAUGUGAUAGCAACAAAAGCUAUAAAUUAUUUAGUCUCUAAAACAUCCUCAGAGGACUCAUUUGCUUCUGACUCCACUCAACAUGUAUAUGAACCUAAUGCCUAUAUACCCUUAGACCUAACCCCUUUUAUCCCCCCUUCCUUAUUAUUGUUACAAUUGUAUUAAAUUUAACUCAUUCAUAUGGAUGGGAAUAGGCUAGACCGUCCACCAGGGGCCUAUGGCCUGACCUACUUAUAACCUUGUCUGGUCUGAUCUAUUUAAUAAAAAGGCUAGGCUCAGACUAUUUUUUAAAGCCUAUUUAUUUAAAUAGGUCAGACUAAGGCUUAUAAAAAAUCCUAUUAGGCCUAACAGACCGACCUAUAUAUGUUUUAUUAUUUAUUAAUGUUAUUUAUUAUUAUUAUUAUUAUUAUUAUUAUUAUUAUUUAUUAAUAAUAUUAUUCCUAUUUUAAAGUUUAUCAAUUAGACAAUCACUCAUUAGUUGUUCCAUAUUCGGUAGCCGUUCAAUUAGACAACCACUUAGUAGUUGUUCUAUAUUUGUUUGAGAGAUAACAAUGGGUGCAUUUGUUUCAGGAAAAAAAUCUAUUCUUUGAAAUCAAAAAUUAUAUUUUAGGGUUUAAAUGAUGUUUGUUUCAGAUUUUUAAAAAGUUAUUUUGUUAGAAAAAUUAUUUUUUUGUUUAAUAUAUAUAGAUAUGUACAUUGAUAUUGGAAUGUGGAGAGCUUCGAGUAGAACAUUUAAAUGUUUUAAUGUAAAUAAGCCUUUUAAAUAGGCUUUCAGGCCAGAUCAGACUUUUAAAAAGGUUAGACCAGAACGAAAGAAAAGUCUAUGAUAGGCUGUAGGCCAGGUUUAGGCCUAACAAAUUAAUCGUAGGUCAACUCAGACCUUUCAAAGUCUGACCUAUUUCCACCCCUAGCUACUAUCAUACAUUUGAAUGUUCUUUUUUUUUUUUUUUCUAACAUUUUGAAUGUAUCUCGAAAUUUAUAUUGAAGUUAGGUGAUUAUGUAACAUUUAUAUAUUAAUGCAAAUGAAGAUGAUUAUUGAUUAUAUAUGUUUUACGAGGACUGAAACACGAGUUAGUAUACAAACACAUGAACUCAUUUAAAGAAAACAUAAAAGUGCACUAUUACAGAAACAUAAUUAACAAAGUAGAACCGACAUAUAAGUUGAGUAAUUAAAAAGUAAAUAGAAACUAAUUAAGCAUAUAUAGCUUUAAGGGUUUAGGAUAAGUUAAGAUCAGUACAAUCACUAGCAGCAAAAGACAAUAUUUUCCGUUCAAGAUCAUAUUCCACUUGAAAAUUAACAUGCGCUAAAUUUCCAAGGAUGGAAAAACCUUGGAUAUGGGAUGGUAAUACUGUCAAGCAUAGCAAGUAGUUUUCAACCAAUGAAAACAAGUUCAAAGGAGUCAAGGUAAUGUUAGCUCCAUUAAAAUGCAAGAUCGUAGAAGGAAAUUUGAAAUUUGGUUGAGAAGGAAAACAAUAGUGGAACGGUUUUGGAACAUUUUGCACUG
rnacentral:lncRNA from 1 species